AUUGAACGCUGGCAGCAUGCCUUACACAUGCAAGUCGAACGGUAACAGGUCUUCGGAUGCUGACGAGUGGCGAACGGGUGAGUAAUGCAUCGGAACGUGCCCAGUUGUGGGGGAUAACUGCUCGAAAGAGCAGCUAAUACCGCAUACGACCUGAGGGUGAAAGCGGGGGAUCGCAAGACCUCGCGCAAUUGGAGCGGCCGAUGUCAGAUUAGGUAGUUGGUGGGGUAAAGGCCUACCAAGCCGACGAUCUGUAGUUGGUCUGAGAGGACGACCAGCCACACUGGGACUGAGACACGGCCCAGACUCCUACGGGAGGCAGCAGUGGGGAAUUUUGGACAAUGGGCGCAAGCCUGAUCCAGCAAUGCCGCGUGCAGGAAGAAGGCCUUCGGGUUGUAAACUGCUUUUGUCAGGGAAGAAAUCCUCUGGGUUAAUACCCCGGGGGGAUGACGGUACCUGAAGAAUAAGCACCGGCUAACUACGUGCCAGCCGCCGCGUAAGAC
rnacentral:rRNA from 1 species